GCGCUAUUAGCUUGCAAUUUCAAACAAAUUUGUAUAUCUCACACAAUAAUGCUAACAAGAAGGCAUAUUUAUUUAGCAGGAUGUGACGAAUAAGACUGAUUAAGUCCAAAUACAAAAUUAAAUAUGACACAAGGCAAUGAAGCAACUGAAUUAUAUAUGGAGCCAAAUGUGAUUAGUGACGACUGACCAGCAGCACGUCAUUGAUUAACUUCCCCAAAUUCACAAAAGAUGCCCCUCCUACCUGGGUUGCCCUAGCUGCAGUGUCCUUCCACUCCAAUGCCCUCCUCCUCAUCUCCUUCCCCUUCUCCCCUCCCAUCAACUCCCUUAUCAGCCCCUCCACCUCCCCCCUCUUCACGUCAUUAUCAAUCUCCAUCCCAACUCCCCACUCCAUGCAUGCAAACCUGCAAUUCGUCUGCUGCUCGGAGAAGAAAGGCCAGCAGAGCAUUGGCACCCCUGCUGACAGACUCUCCAAAGUUGAGUUCCACCCGCUGUGUGUCAAGAACCCACCGACUGCCGGGUGCCUCAGUACCUCCUCCUGUGGGCACCAACUUGCCAGUAUACCUCUAUUUCCCACAGAGGCUCCGAAUUCUGGCGGUAGAACUGCGGAAUCACCCUUCACAAGGUCCGACCUGAUCACCCACAAGAAGUCCUGGCUACUGUUGGCUAGACCCCAGGAAAAUUCAAUCAGCUGCUCGUUGGUCAUCACAGUGAUACUGCCAAAAUUGACAUAGACUACUGAGCCUGCUUGCUUUCCUUGUAGCCAACCGAUGACACUAGUGUCUUCCUUCCAAAGGUUUGAUCCAAUUGAUGAGAGACUCUCGGGAAGAUGGUCAGAGAGCAGCGCCAACGGGCCGAUGGGGUAGAUAGGAGGAUGCAGGAUAGACGUAAUUGCGUCCAGUACCGGGCGCUCCAAAUCAGGGAUUGUAUUGAGGAUGAUUGCCGAGGCCAUGGAAGCUCUAUGUGCCUCACUUUCCACUGCGUUUAACAUAAUGUCUUCUGGGUCAGUGGUGCGGAUGAAGGUGGGGAAGUCCCUCAGGCGCAUGUUUGGCAUCCCAGGAACCCAAUCUAUUGGUGUGUCCAGAUACCCGUUCGUGUAGUCAUCUUCAUCUUUGAAUGGGACGAGGCCUUUCUCAAUGAGGUGCUUGUAUUGGAGAUAACCCAUGAAGCCGCAAGCACUCGUGGUCCAGAAGAGCACCUCAGGGAUGCCAAACUCCUUGGCAGCGUCAAGGGUGAAACUCAUCACCCCAUCAGAUAUGAUGCAUGAGACUGGUGGAGAAUCUGACAAGGGGUCAAUUAGAUUAGAGAGGAGUUGACGAAAAGGGGCGAGGCACUUUGUGGUGGUGGAGACGAAAAGGGACGGGAUGUCUUGAGUUCUGUCAACCUCUGACGGCGGCAGGCCAUCAGGUAUUGUCUCGAACCGGAAGUCAGGGAGGCCGGAGAGGGAGGAGGAACCUCUUGACUUGAGGAGGCGAUGGUGGUUGUACUCGGUGUUGACGAAGGUGAUGUGGAAGCCAUGGGUGUGCAGGAGCUUGGCUAGCUUCAGCAUGGGGGUAAUGUGUCCUUGGGCUGGGAAUGGUAUGCACAAUGCAUGUGGCUUGUUAUCAGCUGCGAGGGAAUCCAUCUCUAUGUAUCUCUGAGACUGCGUUUGGGUCUCCGGGGAAUCGAACCAGUGCUUAUAUAGGUUUAUGCAUGCCAAACUACUUCAUGAAUUGCGAAAUAAUUUGAAUCUAAGCACGUUGUCUAUUCAUUAAAAAGAAGAACAAGAAAAAGAAGAAGAUGGCAGAAUUGACAGACUACUCAUUUUUAUGCCUCGUCAAGCUCCUCCGGAGAACUUUUAAGUAUUCAAAUGAUUUCAAGACGAUUUAAA
rnacentral:misc_RNA from 1 species